rnacentral:rRNA from 1 species
GACGAACGCUGGCGGCGUGCUUAACACAUGCAAGUCGAACGGAAAGGCCCUGCUUUUGUGGGUUGCUCGAGUGGCGAACGGGUGAGUAACACGUGAGUAACCUGCCCUUGACUUUGGGAUAACUUCAGGAAACUGGGGCUAUUACCGGAUAGGAGCUCCUGCUGCUUGGUGGGGGUUGGAAAGUUUCGGCGGUUGGGGAUGGACUGGCGGCUUAUCAGCUUGUUUGUGGGGUAGUGGCUUACCAAGGCUUUGACGGGUAGCCGGCAUGAGAGGGUGACCGGCGACAAGGGGACUGAGAUACGGACCAGAAGGGAACGGGAGGCAGCAGGGGGGAAUAGUGCACAAUGGGAGGAAGGCUGGUGCAGAAACGCGGGGUGCGGGAUGACGGCCUUCGGGUUGUAAACCGAUUUGGAAUGUGACGAAGCGUGAGUGACGGUAAUGGGUAAAGAAGCACCGGCUAACUACGUG